UACGUAGGGACCAAGCGUUGUCCGGAUUUAUUGGGCGUAAAGAGCUCGUAGGCGGCCCUCCACGUCGGAUGUGAAAGCUCAGGGCUCAACCCUGAGAUGCCGUUCGAUACGGGAAGGCUAGAGGUAGGUAGGGGAAAGUGGAAUUCCUGGUGUAGCGGUGAAAUGCGCAGAUAUCAGGAGGAACACCGGUGGCGAAGGCGGCUUUCUGGGCCUUACCUGACGCUGAGGAGCGAAAGCUGGGGGAGCGAACAGG
rnacentral:rRNA from 1 species